CCUACGGGGGGCUGCAGUGGGGAAUAUUGGACAAUGGGGGGAACCCUGAUCCAGCCAUGCCGCGUGUGUGAAGAAGGCCCUCGGGUUGUAAAGCACUUUCAGUGAGGAAGAACGCCUGGUGGUUAAUACCCAUCAGGAAAGACAUCACUCACAGAAGAAGCACCGGCUAACUCCGUGCCAGCAGCCGCGGUAAUACGGAGGGUGCGAGCGUUAAUCGGAAUUACUGGGCGUAAAGCGCGCGUAGGUGGCUUGAUAAGCCGGUUGUGAAAGCCCCGGGCUCAACCUGGGAACGGCAUCCGGAACUGUCAAGCUAGAGUGCAGGAGAGGAAGGUAGAAUUCCCGGUGUAGCGGUGAAAUGCGUAGAGAUCGGGAGGAAUACCAGUGGCGAAGGCGGCCUUCUGGACUGACACUGACACUGAGGUGCGAAAGCGUGGGUAGCAAACAGGAUUAAUACCCGUGUAGUC
rnacentral:rRNA from 1 species